UAAUUGCAGAAUAAUCUGUAUCGUACUGAAGAACUGGGAGAAUGUUCGUUGCGUGGUUGCAAUAUGAAUUCGGACUGAGACCAGCAGAUAUUCUCGAAAGUGGACUAGACCUGACAACGGUUGGAAUUAGGUUGCAGGAAGACUUCCUUCUAUAUUUGGAGAAGAGUAAUUAUUUGGAGAAACUGAAAGAAUAUUAUGCCAAACAAAUCAAUGAUUCACUAAAGAACAGCAUUUUACAACCCGUAAACGUCUAUUUACCAAUUGAUAUGGAAGAUCUGUUGAGUGUAUCAGGUGAACAUUUUACAAACUUGCUGUUUCAUGAACCACACAUUGCUCUUUCUAUUGUUCACAAAGUGGUAUAUACUGCUCUACAUUGCAUGGAAAAUACACAUAUUGUUUUACCAGGACAAGUAAAAAUUGUACUGCGACCCUCAAAUAUAUUGCGUAAUGUCUCUUAUUGGGACUAUAGUGCAGAAUAUCGUGGAAUAUCAACAUUGCAAGGAGUUGUAAUAUCACUAUCAAAGCCACAUAAGUAUACCCAAAGUUUAGUUGUCAGAUGCCAGGAAACAAAGUGUAUCAAUUCAAAAGGUUAUCGUAUGCCAGGUGCCAUAAACACAUCAUACAUUCAUUGCAACCUCUGUGGUUCAAAACUAAUAGAAGAAUUUAGGUGUAGAGAAACAGGAGAUCAAGUUCUUGCAUUGAUGGUCAAUCCAGAAGCAUAUAAAUUUAAUCAGCAGCAUCUGUACAAACGCAGCCAGGCAGUGCUUGUCUGUUUUCAAGAUGAUCUUGUUUGCAGUUUACAUCUUGGAGGCUGCUAUAACGUGGUAGGGCACAAACAGCCAAAAUUCUUUUAUGCAUGGAAUAUUGAAGAAGUGGUUAAUUUGUAUGGAGAAUAUAAUACAAAGAAAGUUUAUUCAGCAACUCUUCCAAAACAAAUUUCACACUUGUUGGACCUAUUGAGGAGCAAUGACUGUCAUUCACCAUGGUCAUUUGUGACAGCACUUGCUUCACAGAUUGCAACUGACAUCUAUCCAGCCUCAGCACUGUUGCAUUUAAAAAUGGGAAUGCUUUUAAACCUGGCAGUUCAGGGAAGCAGUCAGAAGAAGCCAGUACACCUGUUGGCAAUUGGAAGAGAUGUGCUCUUAGCGCAGCGGCUCCUGAGGCGAGGUGGGCAAAUGGGACAACGUUAUAUUGAACACUUUUCACCUGUUUUUACCUGUGCUGUUAAUGGAAAUACUCGCGUGGAUGAGCAAGGUCUCCAGUGGACUGAUGCUGGCCCUCUGACGCUGGCUAAAAAUGGGGUAUGCUGUCUAGGUGAUUGGGCAAAGUUUUCUCAACACUCAAAGCACACACACAUUGUUUCUGCCAUUGAAACUGGACAAAUUUCAUUCAGACAUCAUGGAAAUGUAACUGAAGGGAUGCACACGAGUCCAUUAGAGUGUUCUGUGUGGACAUACUGUCAGCAUUCUCCUUACAGUUCAAAUUUCUCAGAUCAGAAGCAGAUUAGAAUGCUCAUUAACAUUUUUGGUAUUCCGUAUCUGUGUGAUGACAGCAAUGAAACAGUGGAAAUUUGUCAACACAUUUUAAUGAAAUCAAUAUUAAGAACUGAAAGUGAAUUAAAUAAUGAUGACUUGAGAGAGUUUCUGCGGAUUGUCUCAACAAAAAAUCUAGUUCUUAAAGAAGAAGCCAGACAACUUAUAUGCAGUUAUUUUGUGGCCUGUCGCAGAGUAAGACCUGACUGUCUUCCUGUUGGUGCAAUAGAAACAAUCACAGCACUGUCUGAAGGGCACGCAAGAUUGUCGAUGAAAAGUGAAGUAUGCUAUGAAGAUGUUUUGCCUGUUCUAAGACUCUACGAGGAAUCUCUGUAUGCAAUAUUUGGGAGCUCUUUUGUAUCUCCUCCACCAAUUGCAAGGCAAAGUGGACUUACUUCAAUGAAAUCUUUAAUUAUGCAGCAGUUAAAAAUGGAUAAAAGCAUCCUGCUUAACUUGCAUUAAUGCAGCACUAGAACACAACUCCAUACUUCUGCUGUUCAAAAGACACUGGGAUGACCGCAACACAUUCAGAUUAUGCAUGCAUACAUGCAUAUGAAGGAGGAAGUUACCGUCCACUUGCCAUCUGGUGCAUUUCUCCAGACAAAGACUGAGAUGGAACAUUUUUCAGCCUGGAUAAUUAACUACAUCAAAUCUGUAAUUGGAGUACAUCCCUUUCAGUAUUGCAAUGCUGAAGAAUAAUACAGCUUAUCAAAUUUGUAAUUUAUUGUCUUGUCACAAACUACUAUCAGUUACAUGGUAGACAGGCACAAUUUCUUACUGAAUUAACAAAUGGUUUAAAUAUGUUCUAUUCUGCCAAAUCCUGCCUCAAUUGUCAGUUUUUAAAGAAAGGCAGUAAUUUCUGCCACAAGAAUGUUACUGCUAUCACUUAAAUUAGUAUCAUAUGUGAAAUGAUAUAUUUUUUAAGCUUCAAGCACUAAUGGGAAUGAGGGGCUAGAAAUUUGUUCAAGUAACCAAAUCAAACGAACAGUUUUUACACAUACCUGUUAGGACAAAUUUCCAGAAAAGUGAGUGUGGUUAUUAUUUUGAUAUCAAAAGACGCAACAGAUCUUUUUAAAAUAUCAUUUGAGUAUCUUCCACUUCAAAAUUUAUCUACAAAAAUAUUUUUAAUGUACAACAAUACUGAAUAAAUCUGUACAUCAGUGUGACCAAGCAACAACAGAAUCCACACAUCAAAUAAGUGUGAAAGUUAAAUAUUAGUGUACUACCUAUAAUGUCUGCAGUGAAUAAAAUUUGUCACUUGGGUUCAGCGUCCAUUUUAGUCUAUAGGCUCACAUCUGUAUUCUUAAGAAUACUAACAAUAAGUUUUAGGAACAGUUCUAAUAUUGAGCACAGAGAAUAGGUUAUAUUAUAUUGUCAUCAAGCAGAAUCAGUUGGAAAAAUAGCACAGACAUUGGUUCCCAAAGAAAUGUUAAACACAAAGCAAACAUAACAAGUAACUGCUAGUGUGUUUUCAGCUUAAUUACAGAUGACUGUUAAGCAACAAGCAAUUGGGAUGGGCAAUUGAAAGUAAUAAGUAUGUUAGAAUUUUAUUUUAUUUCCUUGUAAAAUAUUUGGUUGUAUACCACUUUUUUAAACAACUAUGUACAGAUUACAAUACAUGAAACUUCUAAAUAAAUUGAGCAGAAAAAAUGAAGUAUUUUAAUAAACAGUUUUUAAAUCUCCUCCAGUCAGUUUACAUGAGAACACAGAAAAAGAUGACUAGAUCUGAUGAGACCAUGCAGUACCCUUGUAUAAGAAACUAAUGUUAAGUAGUUUCAUGAACUGAUACAUUGAUAUAGUAUUCAGAAAACAACUUGUACCAUUAUUUAAUUAUUACUAAGAUUGAGAUUCAAAUAUUAAAUAAAAGACACCUGGAAACAAUGCAGUUACAGGUGUGGAGGAAGUGCUCUCUCUCAGCACUGUGCUAUAAAAUAAACAAACUUCCACUUCGGCAGAUUUCUUUGUAAUUAUGUAAUACUCUUCGAAACUUUCACACUAUGUACGCAGUAAAAAUGAGGGAUACAGGAAACCAUUUAUACUUUCAGAUAACAUCAUUUUGCGUAGAAUGUGAUAAUAUACAAUAUUUCUGUUUGUUCUCAUGUAAUUUGUGCAGGAUUCAGUUUCUGUAUUGUACCUCAUUCUAAGACUAAUGAAAUCACCUAAUUUUGAACUAAAACAUAUGUUUCCUAAAAUUGUUGGAAUGUAAUAGUUUUAUAUGAUUGAGCACCAAUGCAUAAAUGAAAAUUUGUGCAGGUUAAGUUUUCAGUAACUUUUAUUGUAAACACUGAUCCAUCUUGUCUGAAAGUCUGACCAUCCCUUAAUGAGAAACUGC